rnacentral:rRNA from 1 species
CAGUCGCCGCGGUAAUACGAAGGGGGCUAGCGUUGCUCGGAAUGACUGGGCGUAAAGGGCGCGUAGGCGGAUUGCGCAGUCAGAUGUGAAAUUCCUGGGCUUAACCUGGGGGCUGCAUUUGAGACGCGUAGUCUAGAGUGUGAAAGAGGGUCGUGGAAUUCCCAGUGUAGAGGUGAAAUUCGUAGAUAUUGGGAAGAACACCGGUGGCGAAGGCGGCGACCUGGUUCAUAACUGACGCUGAGGCGCGAAAGCGUGGGGAGCAAACAGGAUUAGAUACCCCCGUAGUCCCUGUCUCUUAUAC